GGAAAUUUUGAUACAAGCAUUUGAUGCCAUAGGAAUCGCAGUGGAAAGAUCACAUAUGGGUAACAGGCAAUUGGCGAGUAAAGCGCUGCUUGUUGCUGUGAAAUAACCUUCCCAAUAAUGUGGUGGAGGGAUACUGUUAACUGCUUCGA